AAGUAAUAAUACUGGAUUAGAGACGUCAACAAAUCCGCAGAGUGUAAAAUAAGAGAAUGGAUAUGUUCUAAUAUCAGCAAAAACCAAAAGGGUUUCCUGCCUCUUUUUCCUCAUGCCAUUCAUCUCCCCACCUCAACCUACAGAGCAGUUCAAGAUUGGCAUGGAUUGAUCAACAGAUGCCCCAGUAAAUUUAAUGAGAGAUAACUAAAACAGGAGCUUGUGAAGAACCAAAAUCAGGAACUACAGGAAUACAGUCAACGCCAGGCUAUAAUGGAAGAAAACAGAAGCUGUGAAGAAGGUUCCAGAAAAAUGGUUUGGAAUGACAAUCUCGAAGUUGCAUACGAUUGGUAAUUGCCUUCAAAGGAACUCGCCAUGAAGUGAACUUUAAAUAAAUGUCCCUUUUCUUUGCAUCAGUUAUCAAGCAGGAACACUUUUAUCAGCACCGUAACAAAAUAAACUGUUGCAGCAUUCUCAACAAAUGCGAGCAGCGCAGGGGUUUUUUGUUUCCUAAAAGACGCAACGUUUAGCAAAUGAAUCCUGCCAAGCUCCAACGCAAUAGUA